rnacentral:rRNA from 1 species
GACGAACGCUGGCGGCGUGCUUAACACAUGCAAGUCGAACGGAAAGGCCUCAGCUUGCUGGGGUACUCGAGUGGCGAACGGGUGAGUAACACGUGGGUGAUCUGCCUUGCACUCUGGGAUAAGCUUGGGAAACUGGGUCUAAUACCGGAUAUGAACUGCCGUUAGUGUGGUGGUUGGAAAGUUUUUUCGGUGCAAGAUGAGCUCGCGGCCUAUCAGCUUGUUGGUGGGGUAAUGGCCUACCAAGGCGUCGACGGGUAGCCGGCCUGAGAGGGUGUACGGCCACAUUGGGACUGAGAUACGGCCCAGACUCCUACGGGAGGCAGCAGUGGGGAAUAUUGCACAAUGGGCGGAAGCCUGAUGCAGCGACGCCGCGUGGGGGAUGACGGCCUUCGGGUUGUAAACUCCUUUCGACAGGGACGAAGCUUUUUGUGACGGUACCUGUAUAAGAAGCACCGGCUAACUACGUG